UGAUCUAGUUUUCCUGAUGACACCUUCAU
rnacentral:sRNA from 1 species